GCGGGCCGAAGAUGUCCUGGCCCUGCCGGAGCCGCCGCCUGACUGACGAGGCCCCGCAAGGGAGCGGACGGGCUGCACAGACUUGCGGGUCCCCCGGGCCCCUUGGGCGGUGAUCAGCGCGGACCUUGGGCCAACCAAGGAAGCAGGCUGGAGCACUACCCCCUCAACCCCAUUUUAGAACAUCCUUCUGAGGGCUUCGCUGACCUCGGCUUGAACUCCUUCAGAGCCGGAGAGAUCACUCCUUCCACCACCGAGGGAGAGAAGGCAAAAUGAAUUUGCCAGCUCUGAAUUCAUUCUCAAGGCUCCGCUAGUCUGACAGCCGGUGAACUCAGCCUGGAAUUCCUGAGAGCUCAGAAAACUGCUGCUCAGGUGGCAGCUGAGCAUCCCUGGAGAGGGUGGUGAUUUGAAAGCACUUCCAGACCUCUAGGGACACCAGGGAGUCAUGAUCCCAGCACAUUCCUGUGGGAGGGAGCCCCUCCUCCUCAGCCUGUGUGUGGCCCAAGUUCACAAUCUCUGAGCCCACACCUUCCCAUCCUCCAAGGCCUUCCCUCAAGCAAGAUGUCUUCUGACUUUCCACCAUGGUGCUCUGCCCUAUGGUUCGAGACCCAGUUCAGCCACCACCCCCUUCUUCAGAUGGGAGGCACAAGAGAAUAGUCUGGGGGCCUGCCUCAGGAGCUGGGACACCUAUGUGCUCAGCCUGGCAUUGCCUGAUUUGCUGUGUGGCAUGAGCACAUCACAAACCCUCUCUGGGCCUGUUCCCCACCAGCUGAGUGACAGAGUAUGGGAUAGCCAGCAGCACUUUUGCCUCUGCUUCUUCUAAGGUUCUGUAGGUCUGAGCCUUUAACCCUUGGACUGAGCUACAGUUAACUUGAAGGUUUGAGGGGGCCCUGCUUUAGGGAGGGCUUUCAGAGGGGGCCAUUUAGUGGUGUAGGGACAAAAAAUACAUGGAGAGAGCUGCUCAGAACUGUGACGAAGACUGUGAGUAGGUAAUGACCCUAACAUCUCCCUUCAUGGGGCACCUCUCACUCUCUGAGCCUCACAACAUUCCUUUUGUGUGUGACUAAGCUGAGCCCCAAAAAGAGGUGGUGGCUUUCCCAGGGCUGCACCACUGGGAAGUACCAGAGCUGGAACAAGAGCCAGGUCUCAGCCAGGCAUGGUGGCACAUGCCUGUGGUCCCAGCAACUCCUGGGGGCGAGAGGGGCGAGAGGCGCUGCAGAGAAGAGCCAGGUCUCCUCAUCCAGUGUCUCCUCACCUGUGUCAGCACCCCUCCAAAGGAGCAAGUACAUGCAGAAGCUGACGAGGGAGACUGGGACACGCAACCUGAGAAGGACCACGCCUCCCACCUCCUUCCUGACAGCUCCUUAACCCUAAGAGGGGUGGUGGAAGAUCUCAGAUCCUCAGCAUCUCCCCUCCUCCUGGCUAUGCAGUCCUCUGGCGUCAAGGCUCGUGCUUCCUUUUUCUCACCUAAUCCUGUAGCCAUGCUGGGUGACUUCCAGAAUUGCCAGCAUUACGUACAUACUCUUACCUCUGUGCUGUUGUUGAUGCUCCUCCUACCUCCUAGACACACCCCUCCCAGUCGCCAAGGCCGCAUCUACAACCACCUGCUUGGAAGCCUACCCUGAUACCUCCACCAGAUGUGCCAUCUUCCUUGUCUCAGCCCCCAUAUGCUGCUGGCCCAGGCUCCAUCAUCAGCAUCACCAUGGAAAUUGCUUGUGAAGUUCCUGCUAUGUGCCAGGCACUGAGUAGCUCAUAUACAUGAACUCCUCCCAUCCUCUGAACUGAGUAUUAGUAUUCUCGUUUUACAGAUGAGGAAACAGAGGCACAGGGAGUUUCAUUUCCUAGUGUGACACCUCACAGGCUAGGGAGGUUAUGUGUUACAUACCCCUCUUCUGUCAGGGCUGCAGGUCAUAGGAUGGCUCACUGCUAGAUCCCAUCAACCAGUGCAGCGCCUUGGGGGCUGACAGGCCAUCAAGAGCAGGGGAGGUAUCCGGGCACACAGUAUGACCAGAACCAGCCCUCCGGAGGCUCACAGGCUCUCAGGAACAGCUGCCCACACCAAAUGCCACUCAAAGAGUUCAGGGGAAGAAGAGGAGUUGGCAUUGAGUGGGGCCUGGAAGGUAAGCUCUGCUGGGGCUGUAGGAAAGCCAGAGUGGAACAUGAACCUGUCCAAGGUCACACAGCAAGUAUAGGACAGCAGCAGGGCUGGGACCUGGAGCUCCCAGUGUAACGUGCCUUCUUGCACCUUGCAGCCAGCUGUGGGGCCCCUUCGACUGUGCUAUUUUCAAGGACACACGGUCCCAGACGCCUCCACGAUGCUGAGCUGUUCAAUGAGUGGCUCUGGUUCUUCUCCCCUUCUAUUAAAAUGGAAAAAAA